rnacentral:ncRNA from 1 species
GGAUAGAGGAGCGGAAAGCAAUAGUACUUCGGGGAGAGGGAUCGUUGAAACGAAGGAAAGGGUAACCGCCGAAGUAUAACGGCAGCCGUGCAGUUAUGCUGGGCCGUCGGUGAAGAACCGCCGGACUGUCGCCUUAGUUGGCGGAGGGCUAUCU